rnacentral:rRNA from 1 species
UGUCAUCUGACACUGUUGCCUCCGGGGCGACCCGGCCUGCCUUCGGGUGUUUCGGGGCCCCGGGUGGACCAUUCAACCCUGCAUCUUUGCGUCUGAGUAAAUGAUUGAAUCAAUCAAAACUUUCAACAACGGAUCUCUUGGUUCUGGCAUCGAUGAAGAACGCAGCGAAAUGCGAUAAGUAAUGUGAAUUGCAGAAUUCAGUGAAUCAUCGAAUCUUUGAACGCACAUUGCGCCCCUUGGUAUUCCGAGGGGCAUGCCUGUUCGAGCGUCAUUACACCACUCAAGCCUCGCUUGGUAUUGGGCGCCGCGGUCCGCCGCGCGCCUCAAUGUUUCCGGCUGAGCUCUCCGUCUCUAAGCGUUGUGGUUAAAACUAUCCGCUCGCGAGAUUGGGGGGCGUCUGGCCGUUAAACCAUUACUCAAAGGUUGACCUCGGAUCAGGUAGG